rnacentral:lncRNA from 1 species
GAACCGGUCUCUCGGAGAAGGACCGGUCUCCCGGGGACCGGUCUCUCAGGUAAGAACCGGUUCCCGAACGCGAAAUCCCCUCUGCCUGGUUGUGCAGCUUUCGGGGACCGGUCUCCCCGAGCUGGGACCGGUCCCUCACUGCGAAAAUGCCCAGAGAGGGCUGAUUCAAAGGAUGAAAAGUUGAGGGGGCUAACUGCAAAAUAGCCUUUAAUAGGGCUUGGGGACCCCUCUCACUCUCUCCCAGCUGCUCUCUCUCUCUCUCACUCUUUUCCCUUUCUC